rnacentral:misc_RNA from 1 species
GAUGAGAACGCAGCGAAAUGCGAUACGUAAUGUGAAUUGCAAAUUCAGUGAAUCAUCGAGUCUUUGAACGCACAUUGCGCCCCCUGGUAUUCCGGGGGGCAUGCCUGUCCGAGCGUCAUUGCUGCCCUCAAGCACGGCUUGUGUGUUGGGCCCCGUCCUCCGAUUCCGGGGGACGGGCCCGAAAGGCAGCGGCGGCACCGCGUCCGGUCCUCGAGCGUAUGGGGCUUUGUCACCCGCUCUGUAGGCCCGGCCGGCGCUUGCCGAUCAACCCAAAUUUUUAUCCAGGUUGACCUCGGAUCAGGUAGGGAUACCCGCUGAACUUAAGCAUAUCAAUAAGCGGAGGA